AGAGUUUGAUCCUGGCUCAGAACGAACACUGGCGGCGCGCCUAACACAUGCAAGUCGAGCGAGAAAGUCCCUUCGGGGGCGAGUAGAGCGGCGGACGGGUGAGUAAUACGUGGGUAAUCUGCCUUCGAGUUCGGGAUAACCUUGCGAAAGCGGGGCUAAUACCGGAUAAGACCACAUAACAUUAAGUUACGGGGUAAAAGGUAGCAUGUACUCGUAUGUGCUAUCACUUGAAGAUGAGCCCGCGUCCUAUCAGCUUGUUGGUAAGGUAAUAGCUUACCAAGGCUAUGACGGGUAGCUGGUCUGAGAGGACGGCCAGCCACACUGGGACUGAGACACGGCCCAGACUCCUACGGGAGGCAGCAGUGGGGAAUAUUGGGCAAUGGGCGAAAGCCUGACCCAGCGACGCCGCGUGGGUGAUGAAGGCCUUCGGGUUGUAAAACCCUGUCGUGUGGAAAGAACAGUUCCGCGGUGAAUAUCCGCGGAAUCUGACGGUACCACAGGAGGAAGCACCGGCUAACUCCGUGCCAGCAGCCGCGGUAAUACGGAGGGUGCAAGUGUUGUUCGGAAUUAUUGGGCGUAAAGGACGCGUAGGCGGUCAUGAAAGUCAUAUGUGAAAUCCUCCGGCUCAACUGGAGAAUUGCAUCUGAAACUUCAUGGCUGGAGUACAGG
rnacentral:rRNA from 1 species